UACGUAGGUGGCAAGCGUUGUCCGGAUUUAUUGGGCUUAAAGGGCGCGUAGGCGGCUUUUUAAGUCAGUGGUGAAAGCCGAUCGCUUAACGAUCGAACUCCCAUUGAUACUGAGAGGCUUGAGUAUAGUUGAGGUAGGCGGAAUUGACAGUGUAGCGGUGAAAUGCAUAGAUAUUGGCAGGAACACCAAUUGCGAAGGCAGCUUACUAAAGUAUAACUGACGCUGAGGCGCGAAAGUGCGGGGAUCAAACAGG
rnacentral:rRNA from 1 species